AUUGAACGCUGGCGGCAUGCCUUACACAUGCAAGUCGAACGGCAGCGGGGGAGAAGCUUGCUUUUCCUGCCGGCGAGUGGCGAACGGGUGAGUAAUACAUCGGAACGUGCCCUGUAGUGGGGGAUAACUAGUCGAAAGAUUAGCUAAUACCGCAUACGACCUGAGGGUGAAAGUGGGGGGCCGCAAGGCCUCAUGCUAUAGGAGCGGCCGAUGUCUGAUUAGCUAGUUGGGGGUAAAGGCCUACCAAGGCGACGAUCAGUAGCUGGUCUGAGAGGACGAUCAGCCACACUGGGACUGAGACACGACCCAGACUCCUACGGGAGGCAGCAGUGGGGAAUUUUGGACAAUGGGCGAAAGCCUGAUCCAGCAAUGCCGCGUGUGUGAAGAAGGCCUUCGGGUUGUAAAGCACUUUUGUCCGGAAAGAAAUGGCUCUGGUUAAUACCUGGGGUCGAUGACGGUACCGGAAGAAUAAGGACCGGCUAACUACGUGCCAGCCGCCGCGGUAA
rnacentral:rRNA from 1 species